rnacentral:lncRNA from 1 species
AGUUUGGACCCCGUUAAGGGAUUAGCAUGUAAACCUUCUUAGCUACCUCUCCAGCACCAUGCCUGCCUGUGUGUUCUCGUGCUCCACCAGGAUGAUAAUAGUCUAACCUUCUGAAAUGGAAUCACGGGCUGGCGUGCAUACUCGGACCUCUGACAGGGAAGCUAUGGAAGAAGACAACUCAGUUUCUGAUGCUUUCUUUACUCAAACCCUCCAGAAUUAAAUGAGAGGUUUUCAGCAAUGGGCAGGCCACACAGUGAUUAC